CGAAUGGGGAGANUCAUCGUCAGCUCAUUUUAUAUAUAUGCAAGUUAUGAUAUGGGUUACUAUUCUUUAAUAGGUCUAGUAUUGCCUGUACAUUCUUGUAUAUUUUAUUGUAAGAUGUUGUCGGCGUGCACUUCUCCCCUAGUAGGACGUCGCAACCCGUUGAGUUUAUUAUAUAUUGUUGGUCUACGGCCCGAGUGGAAGCUUUUAAUGAUUAUUUUAUUAUAAUUCAUUAAAAACCCUUGGUGUUACCUGACUGGCACUCAUCGGUAUUCAAAUAUGGUAUUGAGCCGCAUAAUACAAACUUUAUGCGUCCAUAUCUGUCACAAGCGAGGUUAA
rnacentral:rRNA from 1 species